ACAAGAGGUCCUACCACCAGUCUGCCGAGCAAUAUCACUCGCUCGGUGGAAGAUCUUCCCUUUGUCGU
rnacentral:pre_miRNA from 1 species